GGAGCCGUAGCGCAGCGGUUGUCGUGUCGGUCUGCUAAACCGAAGGACGCCGGUUCGAAUCCGGCCGGUUGCCA
rnacentral:tRNA from 1 species